UACGUAGGUGGCAAGCGUUGUCCGGAAUUAUUGGGCGUAAAGCGCGCGCAGGCGGCCUCUUAAGUCUGAUGUGAAAGCCCCCGGCUCAACCGGGGAGGGCCAUUGGAAACUGGGAAGCUUGAGUAUAGGAGAGAAGAGUGGAAUUCCACGUGUAGCGGUGAAAUGCGUAGAGAUGUGGAGGAACACCAGUGGCGAAGGCGACUCUUUGGCCUAUAACUGACGCUGAGGCGCGAAAGCGUGGGGAGCAAACAGG
rnacentral:rRNA from 1 species